GAAUAUUGGACAAUGGGCGCAAGCCUGAUCCAGCCAUACCGCGUGGGUGAAGAAGGCCUUCGGGUUGUAAAGCCCUUUUGUUGGGAAAGAAAAGCAGUCGAUUAAUACUCGGUUGUUCUGAAGGUACCCACAGAAUAAGCACCGGCUAACUUCGUGCCAGCCGCAGGGGUAAUACGAAGGGUGCAAGCGUUACUCGGAAUUACGGGGCGUAAAGGGUUCGUAGGUGGUUGUUUAAGUCUGUUGUGAAAGCCCUGGGCUUAACCUGGGAAUUGCAGUGGAUACUGGGCGACUAGAGUGUGGUAGAGGGUAGUGGAAUUCCCGGUGUAGCAGUGAAAUGCGUAGAGAUCGGGAGGAACAUCCAUGGCGAAGGCAGCUACCUGGACCAACCCUGACACUGAGGCACGAAAGCGUGGGGAGCAAACA
rnacentral:rRNA from 1 species